rnacentral:rRNA from 1 species
UACGGACGGGGCAAGCGUUGUUCGGAAUCAUUGGGCGUAAAGGGCGUGUAGGUGGUUCUGUAUGUCUACCGUGAAAGCGUACGGCUCAACCGUAUUUAGUCGGUAGAAACUGCAGGACUUGAGGCUGGGAGGGGCUGGUGGAAUUCCCCGUGUAGCGGUGAAAUGCGUAGAGAUGGGGGAGAACACUCGUGGCGAAGGCGGCCAGCUAGACCAGUUCUGACACUGAGGCGCGACAGCGUGGGGAGCAAACAGG